CUCAGGUGCAAGGCAAUGGGAAUUUGAUAAAUGGGAGGAGGAAUACUCGAAUAUUCUAAGUGCCACUAAAGGACACACAGCAGUCAGACACUCCCAUAGAGACCUUGCAUUUCUGCUUCUGGCUAAGUUGCCAUCCAGAUACUCGGUUUCAUCUUUUUAUUAGAAAAGAAGAUAAGAUGCAGUUGCCCUUGGGAGAGGCACAUGCUUGCCUGGCACCUCCCACUGCUGCCAGAUGACCUUUAUUUGUGGAGUGGAGCAAACUGCAGUGCAGACUGUCAGAAGAAAACCUCACCAGGGCAUUCUUUCAAGGGGACUUUUUGUUUGGUUUGUUUCUCUUAAUCAAAGAAACCUAA